AUCCAGAUGAAGAGUUCUAAAUAGGACGGAACGCGUGUCAAACUGGAU
rnacentral:hammerhead_ribozyme from 1 species